rnacentral:rRNA from 1 species
UGUUGGUGGGGUAAUGGCCUACCAAGGCGUCGACGGGUAGCCGGCCUGAGAGGGUGUACGGCCACAUUGGGACUGAGAUACGGCCCAGACUCCUACGGGAGGCAGCAGUGGGGAAUAUUGCACAAUGGGCGCAAGCCUGAUGCAGCGACGCCGCGUGGGGGAUGACGGCCUUCGGGUUGUAAACUCCUUUCGCUAGGGACGAAGCGUUUUUGUGACGGUACCUGGAGAAGAAGCACCGGCUAACUACGUGCCAGCAGCCGCGGUAAUACGUAGGGUGCGAGCGUUGUCCGGAAUUACUGGGCGUAAAGAGCUCGUAGGUGGUUUGUCGCGUCGUUUGUGUAAGCCCGCAGCUUAACUGCGGGACUGCAGGCGAUACGGGCAUAACUUGAGUGCUGUAGGGGAGACUGGAAUUCCUGGUGUAGCGGUGGAAUGCGCAGAUAUCAGGAGGAACACCGAUGGCGAAGGCAGGUCUCUGGGCAGUAACUGACGCUGAGGAGCGAAAGCAUGGGUAGCGAACAGGAUUAGAUACCCUGGUAGUCCAUGCCGUAAACGGUGGGCGCUAGGUGUGAGUCCCUUCCACGGGGUUCGUGCCGUAGCUAACGCAUUAAGCGCCCCGCCUGGGGAGUACGGCCGCAAGGCUAAAACUCAAAGGAAUUGACGGGGGCCCGCACAAGCGGCGGAGCAUGUGGAUUAAUUCGAUGCAACGCGAAGAACCUUACCUGGGCUUGACAUACACCAGAUCGCCGUAGAGAUACGGUUUCCCUUUGUGGUUGGUGUACAGGUGGUGCAUGGUGUCGUCAG